CCUACGGGAGGCAGCAGUAAGGAAUAUUGGUCAAUGGACGAAAGUCUGAACCAGCCAUGCCGCGUGAAGGAUUAAGGUCCUCUGGAUUGUAAACUUCUUUUAUAGGGGACGAAAAAGGGUAUUCUUACUCACUUGACGGUACUCUAUGAAUAAGCACCGGCUAACUCCGUGCCAGCAGCCGCGGUAAUACGGAGGGUGCAAGCGUUAUCCGGAUUCACUGGGUUUAAAGGGUGCGUAGGCGGGUAGGUAAGUCAGUGGUGAAAUUUCGAAGCUUAACUUCGAAACUGCCAUUGAUACUAUCUAUCUUGAAUAUUGUGGAGGUUUGCGGAAUAUGUCAUGUAGCGGUGAAAUGCAUAGAUAUGACAUAGAACACCUAUUGCGAAGGCAGCAGGCUACGCAUAUAUUGACGCUGAGGCACGAAAGCGUGGGGAUCAAACAGGAUUAGAUACCCUGGUAGUCCACGCCCUAAACCGAUGGAUACUCGACACACGCGAUACACUGUGUAUGUCUGAGACGAAGACAUUAAGUUAUCCACCGUCGGAGGUACGUCCGCCGAGAGUAGAACGUUAAAGUUAGUAAGUUAGUACGGACGUGAGACGUUGCCGACGGACGACCGACGAGGGGAGGGUAGGG
rnacentral:rRNA from 1 species